GUGAUGAAUUUUAAGCUUAGGACACCUUUGGACGCAGGGACCCUGCGAUUGAAAACAGUGAAACUUGAUCGAUUCGUACACUGAUUU
rnacentral:ncRNA from 2 species